CUUGUGAUACACAUUGUUCAAUUAAAAAAGGCUAUGAAAAAAGAAAGACCCCAACGUUAUAUAUUUUAGUGGAAAUAUCUGAGACAUGGGGAUCGCUGAUUUGACACGUUUUUGCAAUAUUUGUUUCGUGUGCCUCGUUAUCGAAAUAUGCUGUUUUCUGAUAUGUACAUGUAAAAGCAGUGGAAGCUGUGCUCUGAAUUUUUACAGAGAAAAUGGGAAAUGCAUUGAAUGUCCAAGAGGAUCAUUUGGAUACGACUGUAACCAGACCUGUCCAUAUGGGUAUUUUGGACAACAAUGUAGAAAGAAGUGUCAGUGUUCAUCAAAUCAACGCUGCGACCCAGUUAUCGGAUGUCUUGAAAUAAACCUAUCGAUAACCUCAGAGAGACUAUCAAAACAAUACCUGACUGAAACUCAUAAUG